AUUGAACGCUAGCGGGAUGCUUUACACAUGCAAGUCGAACGAGUGGCGGACGGGUGAGUAAUAUAUCGGAACGUUCCCAGUAGCGGGGGAUAACUACUCGAAAGAGUGUCUAAUACCGCAUACUCUUGUAGCCGCCGAUAUCGGAUUAGCUAGUUGGUGGGGUAAAGGCUCACCAAGGCAACGAUCCGUAGCUGGUUUGAGAGGACGACCAGCAACAAUGGGACUGAGACACGGCCCAGAAUCCUACGGGAGGCAGCAGUGGGGAAUUUUGGACAAUGGGGGAAACCCUGAUCCAGCCAUCCCGCGUGUAUGAGAAGGCCGUCGGGUUGUAAAGUACUUUUGGCAGAGAAGCGGUAUCUGCAGAAGAAGCACCGGCUAACUACGUGCCAGCCGCCGCGGUAAUUC
rnacentral:rRNA from 1 species